GUGCUCACUUUGGCAACACAUAUACUAAAAUUGGAAUGAUACAGAAAAAAUGAUACAGAAAAAAACUGGGCAAGGAUGACACUCAAAUUUGUGAAGUGUUCCAUAUUUAA
rfam:Otolemur garnettii contig058802, whole genome shotgun sequence.